ACGACGCUGCCUUCGUAUUGCGCUCCUCGUUCAAAUCCGAUCGCUCCAUAGAUCGAAGCAUCGGCCACUGCGACGGCGAUUACUUCCUCUGGUCUCCCCUGCUGCCUUCGAAACCCACCUCUCACCCUCCCCGAAUCCCUUCUCCCAAUGCCAUACCCCGAGAAAAACCCUAAAUCAAGAAUCGUUCCCGCCCGAUUCAUUUCAAGAAUCCGGUAUUGAAGUCAUAGUCCUUCUCUCGUCGAUCAAUUUGGGAAAAUCCUUGGCGAGGAAGCUCAUCAGCGUCUCCGAUGCUCGCUACGCUCCGAUCUCGCUUCCAUCUGCUGCCCUUCGUUAAUUUCAGUUUGAAAUAGCAAGCUCAGCGGCUGCAUGGAUCGGUGUGGAAUGUAAAUUCUGUAGUUUCAUCAAGGUGCUUAGUGGUGAGCACGCCAACGACGAUAGUAGCGAGUCUAUGUACUAUUUUGUCUUUCAUAAAGUUUGGAAGUAGGCAUCCCCACCACCAUCACUGUAGCAGUUUUGAGGUCGAAGAUGUUGAUUA